rnacentral:rRNA from 1 species
UGGCCCAACUGAUAUGACGUGCUUGCACUGAAUUGACGUUGGAUUACCAGUGAGCGGCGGACGGGUGAGUAACACGUGGGCAACCUGCCCUGAAGCGGGGGAUAACAUCUGGAAACAGGUGCUAAUACCGCAUAACAACGAAAACCACAUGGUUUUCGUUUCAAAGAUGGUUUCGGCUAUCACUUCAGGAUGGGCCCGCGGUGCAUUAGCUAGUUGGUAAGGUAACGGCUUACCAAGGCAAUGAUGCAUAGCCGAGUUGAGAGACUGAUCGGCCACAAUGGAACUGAGACACGGUCCAUACUCCUACGGGAGGCAGCAGUAGGGAAUCUUCCACAAUGGGCGCAAGCCUGAUGGAGCAACACCGCGUGAGUGAAGAAGGGUUUCGGCUCGUAAAGCUCUGUUGUUGGAGAAGAACGUGCGUGAGAGUAACUGUUCACGCAGUGACGGUAUCCAACCAGAAAGUCACGGCUAACUACGUGCCAGCAGCCGCGGUAAUACGUAGGUGGCAAGCGUUAUCCGGAUUUAUUGGGCGUAAAGCGAGCGCAGGCGGUUGCUUAGGUCUGAUGUGAAAGCCUUCGGCUUAACCGAAGAAGGGCAUCGGAAACCGGGCGACUUGAGUGCAGAAGAGGACAGAGGAACUCCAUGUGUAGC